rnacentral:rRNA from 1 species
UGGGGAAUUUUGGACAAUGGGCGAAAGCCUGAUCCAGCAAUGCCGCGUGUGUGAAGAAGGCCUUCGGGUUGUAAAGCACUUUUGUCCGGAAAGAAAUCCUUGGCUCUAAUACAGUCGGGGGAUGACGGUACCGGAAGAAUAAGCACCGGCUAACUACGUGCCAGCAGCCGCGGUAAUACGUAGGGUGCAAGCGUUAAUCGGAAUUACUGGGCGUAAAGCGUGCGCAGGCGGUUUGCUAAGACCGAUGUGAAAUCCCCGGGCUCAACCUGGGAACUGCAUUGGUGACUGGCAGGCUAGAGUAUGGCAGAGGGGGGUAGAAUUCCACGUGUAGCAGUGAAAUGCGUAGAGAUGUGGAGGAAUACCGAUGGCGAAGGCAGCCCCCUGGGCCAAUACUGACGCUCAUGCACGAAAGCGUGGGGAGCAAACAGGAUUAGAUACCCUGGUAGUCCGCGCCCUAAACGAUGUCAACUAGUUGUUGGGGAUUCAUUUCCUUAGUAACGUAGCUAACGCGUGAAGUUGACCGCCUGGGGAGUACGGUCGCAAGAUUAAAACUUAAAGGAAUUGACGGGGUCAUAGCUGUUUCCU